AAUGAAAUUGUUGGGCUAUAUAGUAACUCUUUAAGUUUCUGAAUAAUUGUCAGACUGUUUUUCCAAAUGGAUGCACAAUUUUACUUUCCCACUACCAU
rnacentral:pre_miRNA from 1 species